UACGCAGGGGGCUAGCGUUGCUCGGAAUCACUGGGCGUAAAGCGCACGUAGGCGGCUUUCUAAGUCAGGGGUGAAAUCCUGGAGCUCAACUCCAGAACUGCCUUUGAUACUGGAGAGCUUGAGUCCGGGAGAGGUGAGUGGAACUCCGAGUGUAGAGGUGAAAUUCGUAGAUAUUCGGAAGAACACCAGUGGCGAAGGCGACUUACUGGACACAUAUUGACGCUGAGGUGCGAAAGCGUGGGGAGCAAACAGG
rnacentral:rRNA from 1 species